rnacentral:tRNA from 1 species
GGAGUUAUAACUCAGUGGUAGAGCGCAUGCCUAGCAUGCAUCAUGAGGCCCUGGAUUCGAUCCCCAGUACUUCCA